GCUGAUAGAUAACACUUUAAUUGUGACGAGGAUAAUGAGACUGUCUGGAUAUAUUCAGGCUAUUUACGUUGCAAUCGCAACUAUUUGUUUUAUAAUAGGCUGAUUCUGUAAAUGUACCUUGCAUAUAACUCCAAUACUCGCGAAGCCCUCUUUACUGGGGACAGCUAGUGUUAGGCGAAACAGUCGAGAAAGUCUCAGAAAUUUCCAGUACCAUGCAUCUAGAUUGACAGUCAAUUUUGCUACAACUAGACCAACGGGCCACCCAUAUGCAUACAUUAAGUUGAUGCCUUACUUUCCAUACUGACGCAAGAGUAUGGUUAGAAGCUCCUUCGGUUGCAAACUGUCGCGGGGAUACAGUCUUAACCUGCCACUACUGUGAUACGCCUUUAACCAAGAGGACGUGGAGCAGAAAAAUUGGGCACGUCUGGGAAACAAUUAUGGAAAACGGAACACAAAUUGGACCUUGGCAUAGGCUAAUAAUUAAAGAAGAAAUCAACGGAUGGUUUUCGUUGAUAAUAAGCGGUGCAGAUAAUAUGGCUGCAGGCAUGUAUAGGUGUGGAGUAGGACAGUACCAGUCUGAAGGAACAGAGUUGCGUGUCGAGUGUAAACCCGAAAAAGUUGAGGUUCGUCUUACACCCGAAAAGUUUAUAGAAAUUAAAAUGAAUACAGUGUUUCCUGUCCCGAAGCUUAACUUCACGCUUACGGCCGGAACCGGAACAAUGAAUGGCGCUGCAGUAACGUUUCAAUAUCCGAAAUGCAGGGGCCACAGCUGGAUACAAGACUGCGUUUGGACUUCAACAACAGUCUUUCCUGACGGUCUUCACAGCUAUAUAUUAACUGCAACAACAUUUACCAAGACAUUAUUCACAGGAAUCAUCAAUUGAUUAUUUAGAUUUCAGUACAUAUCAAUUUAUUUAUGAACGUUACUUUUUAUAUUUUGGAAUUCCUCUUUCAUGCGCGUGCAGUCACGCGUUUAGAAAGAACACAGAUAACAUUUAUCAUUCGGUUAUGUUUAUAUAUAGUGAUGAUUAUACUGGAUUUGCAUGAAAAAUGGGACAGGAUCUACUUUCCAGUCGAAAUUGCAAUAAGGAACAGACACUGAUAUUUCAAUAAACGAUUUCCAAUUUAUCUAUGAAAUAGACAUACGUUUUGUUCAAAAGAAAUUCCAUGCAGACUCGAAGUAAUGUUAAAUAGUGUGCAGUGGAUAUUCAGUAUAAUCUGACUGUCAGAUAUAUAUUUGAAAGCUUGUACAAUAAUAUUCAAGUAUAAAAGCAACGGAGAGGUCUUAUAAUAUACUUAUAUCAUAACUCUUGGGAAAAGUAGGUUCCAUAGGGUAUUUUAGCAUUUUGAAGAUCUUUCAUUUAAUUUUUUCCAAAUUAGUACCUGCACUUUUUAUGACCUUUCAGAAACAGACACAAGUCAAAUGCUUCUGCUAAAAUUUACUUGGUUGAGGUCUUUGCUUCCAUAGGGUUUUGUAAAACAAUAUUAGAUCAAAUCUAGUUCAAUUUCUUGAUAGCUGUAAGUAGACCCACUUACCAUGUAUAAUGACAUUUAGAAAUUACUUGAUACUUUUAGUAACUAAUGGUCGAACAUGGCUAUGCCCGACAACUAGACGUAGUUCGUAACUCGCAUUUACAUAAACAUCGAGGUGGGAUAUAUAUUGUAAUAGAAGUGUCUUUAGAUGUUUCUAAACUUGAUAACUAAAUCAAAAUAUUGGGAUAAAGAGAUGCAAAUUUUUACGAAGCGGGCGGUAGCGGAUUUUGGCCUUUUUAGUUUUGUUUUUCUUUCCUUUUUAAUGAUAAUAUUUCAAAAGUUGAAGUCCUUAGCAUGACUGCAGGUGUUUGUAAACAUUAUAAGCUGUGAAACAUUAACCCCGGUAAAUUGUAAAUAAAUGUUUUAAAUAAAUUCUAACGGCUGUAAAUUGCUAAAAGACAACCCCCACCCCAUUUUAAAAUUGCAUAUUGGUUUCUUGUUAUUCUUCACUAAUUCUGUUUUGAGCUACGAGACUGAUGUUAUAUCAUUAAUAUUCAAUUACAGGAUUAAUUUCAAGAUAAUGCUAAUGGAAGCUAUCUUGCCUGAAUAGAUAAGUUGAUAAUUAUCAACGCUAGAAGUUUAUCACUGUCAUUACGUUAUUAUGCUCACUGUUUCCUGUUUCCUGUGUGUAUGUGUAUGGGUUUUUUUUUCUGUAACGCCAGACUAUAACUAAAGCAUGCAUGUCAAUACAUCUAUAAUCAAACUAAUUAAAUUAGGGUAUUACAAGCGUUUCACAAAAUUGUUCCAGGUAUGUUAAGAUUAUUUUGGUACCAACUUUCAAAAUGAAGCUGUUCUCUUGGUCAGUUUCAACUACAAGUUCCAAAACACAAAGUAGAUGCUUGAAUAUUUAGUCUGAUUUCCAAACGCACUUGAUGUCCUUGCAGUUUGGUUGAUGCGUUCCCAGAAUACAUGCUAACAAACGCAGUGGUACCUGUGAAAUGAUGCCUUGUGCAGUGUCAGGGCAUUUAACAUAGUCCAAGCCCUUUGUCUUAAUAAUGUUUGCUGGUACAUUGUCCCUUUGGAGGAGCAAUAAAACCAUUUUUUAGAAGAUUGACUAAUGACACGUAAAGACGUUCUGUCAAAUGGCAUAUUCUAUCAGCAUUUAAAUUACUUAAAAUGGUCACGAAGAGGAAUUGUCUGCUUAUCGAAUGAGAAAAAUGGAAACUUCACAGGUCGCCCAACACGACAAAAACGAAAAUGUGCAGGCUCGGUUUGAUUGAGCCUGUUCAUGGACGGUAGUGGAAAUGCAUGGUACCGUCCACGCCCUCUAAGACUUUUUGUAAAAACAUUACAGACUUAUUGAAUAAUCUGGCAUUUGAAGAAGACAAUAACUCUAAUAAAGUAAACAAAAUGACAACAUACAUAUUUGCAACUAAACUAAAGGUUAUCUUCUAAAUCCAACAAAUGAAAUUCUGAAUGCAGUAUAUUUUGUACUUUGAAUAAACCGAUCAAAACAGUUCA
rnacentral:misc_RNA from 1 species